rnacentral:rRNA from 1 species
CACGUAGGGUGCAAGCGUGUCCGGAAUUAUUGGGCGUAAAGAGCUCGUAGGCGGUCUGUCGCGUCUGCUGUGAAACUCAGGCUUAACCCUGAGCUUGCAGUGGGUACGGGCAGACUAGAGGUGCGGUAGGGGAGACUGGAAUUCCUGGUGUAGCGGUGAAAUGCGCAGAUAUCAGGAGGGAACACCGGUGGGCGAAGGCGGGUCUCUGGGCCGCAACUGACGCUGGAGGAGCGGAAAGCAUCGGGGAG